ACCUACGGGAGGCAGCAGUAGGGAAUCUUCCACAAUGGACGAAAGUCUGAUGGAGCAACGCCGCGUGAGUGAAGAAGGGUUUCGGCUCGUAAAGCUCUGUUGGGAGGGAAGAAAGAUAGGGGUAGUAACUGGCCUUUAUUUGACGGUAAUUACUUAGAAAGUCACGGCUAACUACGUGCCAGCAGCCGCGGUAAUACGUAGGUGGCAAGCGUUGUCCGGAUUUAUUGGGCGUAAAGCGAGUGCAGGCGGGUUCAUAAGGCUGUGGUGAAAACCCUUGGCUCAA
rnacentral:rRNA from 1 species